GAUAUGGGUAUUAGUCGAAAUAUGUACAUUUUCCUUGUUUUAUCAGUCUUCUUACUAUCGACAAGUACUUAAAAUGUAUAUUUCGAAAUACAUCCUCAAAAAUAUGUAAGAAAGAAAAAUAUCGGAAUGCUAUAUGAAGUAGAAAUAUUGUAGAUCAGAUUCUAUGAUUUAAUCAUCAUUGAUUGAGCUCAGAAGUAAGCAAACUUUAGCUGAAAAAUGCUUGCAUUAAAUAUUCAAACUUUUUUUCUCGUUGUUCUAGCAGUUUUAUUAAUUUCUGCUGAUUUUUCAAAUGCGGACAACACCCUUGAAGAAAGAAUAAAGAAAUUAAUAGAUUUAGGAAUUCCAG